rnacentral:lncRNA from 1 species
GCCAUACCAGGUAGGGCUGAACUAGGGUCACCAGGCUCUCUUCUCAAGGGAGCAGCUGUGAGCUCUGAGACUAGAAGGGGUAUCCAUGGACACAGGGCACUGAGGGCCUCAAGUGUGGCCCUUGUGCUUAUCUGCUCUGGCCCACCUGUUAUCCUCACAGCCAUGAUGCUGCCGUCACAGUCACAGCCCCUGCUGCCCAGCUUGGACACGAGGGAGCUGGCAGUCCAGCAGCAGAACUUCAUCAACCAACAGGCGCUGCUCCUGGCCCAGCAGAUGACCAACCAGGCCAUGAGCCUGUCUCUAGAGCAGCAGACUCAGCAACGCCAGCACCAAGCCCUGGCCUCCACAGCUGCCUCCCCAGCACCACCCCCAGCUGUCGCUCCCAAGACCAAGAAGCCUCCUGCACCCCAGAGAGAGCCACCCCAGAGGGAGCCAGAAUAUGACUUGGAAUCGCCAGGUCCCUGCUCAGGGGUAAGGAGCCAAGGCUGUGUGGACAGUGAGUGACACUUGGGGUGGAGACAGUAGGUGCCAGGGUUACAGGGGUGAGACCUGAGCGGGAAUGUUUCGGGGAGGGGGGUGAUGUAUGUGUGGGCGUGUGGCAGGCGGGGCUGCUCUUCACCUCUCCCUUCUCCCAGGAGACUUCAGAGGGGACUGAAGACAGGACCUGGCACCCCAAGACCUUCCAGCAGAAAAGGGACUACUUCCAGAAGAUGGGUGAGAGUAUUCAGUGUGGCCUGGCCGUCGAGGGCUGGGUGUCAGCAUGGACCCUCCAGGAGCCCAGACAGGCCGGCCAGUGGAGCUGUGGGGAAAAUGGGAGUGACAAAAGACCAUCUGGGGUACUUACAGGGCAGCAGCAGAUCAAGGUGAAGAUGGUGAAGCCUCCAGCCAAGGUCCAGAUCCCUCAGGGCGAGGAGGUGGAGGAGGAGGAGGAGGAGGAGGAGGAAGAGAACUGCGAAGCGCCGCCCCCUCCUCCUCCCCCAGUCGUGAAGAAGCCAAUGAAACAAAGCGGAACCAAUGCUGCUUCAGAAAAGGUGGAGGCUGAGCUCCCCCUGGCUGAAAAGGCCAGGCCUGCCCCAAGCAGGAGGCCUGCAGUGAGCAGCUCAGACCCCACGCCACACUUGGAACCCAGCAGGGAAAUUCGCAACAUCAUCCGCAUGUACCAGAGCCGCCCAGGGCCUGUGCCUGUGCCUGUACAGCCCAUCAGGUGGGCUCAGGAGCUGUGGCCAGGUCUUUACUGCCCAGGGAGUCA